GCUCCAAUAGCGUAUAUUAAAGUUGUUGCAGUUAAAAAGCUCGUAGUUGGACCUUAGGCAAGGCGGCCUGGUCACCUCUGGGUGUACUGGGAUCGCUGCGCCUCACCUCGGGGAGCUAGUCGUGCUUCGGUGCGCUAGGGAACCGAGCCUUACCUUGAGGAAAUUAGAGUGUUUAAAGCAGGCUUAUGCUUGAAUACGUU
rnacentral:rRNA from 1 species